UAGGGAAUCUUCCGCAAUGGGCGAAAGCCUGACGGAGCAACGCCGCGUGAGUGAUGAAGGUCUUCGGAUCGUAAAACUCUGUUAUUAGGGAAGAACAUAUGUGUAAGUAACUGUGCACAUCUUGACGGUACCUAAUCAGAAAGCCACGGCUAACUACGUGCCAGCAGCCGCGGUAAUACGUAGGUGGCAAGCGUUAUCCGGAAUUAUUGGGCGUAAAGCGCGCGUAGGCGGUUUUUUAAGUCUGAUGUGAAAGCCCACGGCUCAACCGUGGAGGGUCAUUGGAAACUGGAAAACUUGAGUGCAGAAGAGGAAAGUGGAAUUCCGUGUGUAGCGGUGAAAUGCGCAGAGAUAUGGAGGAACACCAGUGGCGAAGGCGACUUUCUGGUCUGUAACUGACGCUGAUGUGCGAAAGCGUGGGGAUCAAACAGGAUUAGAUACCCUGGUAGUCCACGCCGUAAACGAUGAGUGCUAAGUGUUAGGGGGUUUCCGCCCCUUAGUGCUGCAGCUAACGCAUUAAGCACUCCGCCUGGGGAGUACGACCGCAAGGUUG
rnacentral:rRNA from 1 species